AUUCCAGCUCCAAUAGCGUAUAUUAAAGUUGUUGUGGUUAAAAAGCUCGUAGUUGGAUCUCGGCGGUCUGAGGGCGGUUCGCUUCAGAGCGCUACUGCCCUAUAGACCGUAGUUUUGCCAGAGGUCUCAGGGUGCUCUUAACCGAGUGUCUUGCGAUGCUGGCAGGUUUACUUUGAAAAAAUUAGAGUGCUCAAAGCAGGCUUUUACGCCUGAAUAUUCGUGCAUGGAAUAAUAGAAUAGGACUUUUUCCUCUUCUGUUGGUCUGAGGGGUUCGAGUAAUGAUUAAUAGGGAUAGUUGGGGGCAUUAGUACUUUGCUGUCAGAGGUGAAGUUCUCGGAUUUGCAAAAGACUAACUUAUGCGAAAGCAUUUGCCAAGGAUGUUUUCAUUA
rnacentral:rRNA from 1 species